GCGCGUGAUACUUCCAUAGAGUCAGAAAGUUUUGUUCUACGAGCCAGACUCCAAAUCUGCACUCCGACAAAAAGACGACCACAAGACUGGACAUGCGGUUCCAAUGUUGGUGCUAAGAGUACGUUCCAAACCUCUUUCGAGGUUAAGCAUUUACACAAACAAGUUUGGCAUGCGCGCCGGGAGUGCACGUGCCAAAACCGUCGGAAAAACCGUCCGUGUAAACGGGCCUAAUGACUUCCUGUUUACUCUUAAUUUCUUCACGACUUUAGUGAUAGCUGUCAUCGCUUCUUUGUCAGUUCCCUGCAUCAACUGAUUCUGCACUUAGUUAAGCACUGUAAACGGAUUGAGUCCUUAUACCCUUUCUACACUGGCAUUAGUUAAUACAGAUUACAGUUAAACCGGUUUAACUUAAACGGGAAUAUCUAAUAGAGGAUUAAAUCUCGUCUACACUGCAA
rnacentral:lncRNA from 1 species